rnacentral:rRNA from 1 species
CUACGGGGUGCAGCAGUGGGGAAUAUUGGACAAUGGGGGCAACCCUGAUCCAGCCAUGCCGCGUGAGUGAUGAAGGCCUUCGGGUUGUAAAGCUCUUUUGGCGGGGACGAUGAUGACGGUACCCGCAGAAUAAGCCCCGGCUAACUUCGUGCCAGCAGCGGCGGUAAGACGAAGGGGGCUAGCGUUGUUCGGAAUUACUGGGCGUAAAGCGAGUGUAGGCGGUUAUCCAAGUCAGGUGGGAAAGCCUUGAGCUCAACUCAAGAAAUGCACUUGUUACUGGGUGACUAGAGGACCGGAGAGGAUAGUGGAAUUCCCAGUGUAGUGGUGAAAUACGUAGAGAUUGGGAAGAACACCAGUGGCGAAGGCGGCUAUCUGGACGGUUACUGACGCUAAGACUCGAAAGCGUGGGGAGCAAACAGGAUUAGAUACCCUCGUAGUC